AGUUUAAUAUUGUAGUUUUGUUGAGUACGGAUCCGAGAGACAUGCAUGCCAGCAAACAAUCUACGCGCAUAACAAUUUGCAUUGUACGAAGUAGCGCCGGACUUCCUCUCCCGUGAACGGCU
rnacentral:lncRNA from 1 species